UACGUAGGGUGCAAGCGUUAUCCGGAAUUAUUGGGCGUAAAGAGCUCGUAGGCGGUUUGUCGCGUCUGCUGUGAAAACUGGAGGCUCAACCUCCAGCCUGCAGUGGGUACGGGCAGACUAGAGUGCGGUAGGGGAGAUUGGAAUUCCUGGUGUAGCGGUGGAAUGCGCAGAUAUCAGGAGGAACACCGAUGGCGGAGGCAGAUCUCUGGGCCGUAACUGACGCUGAGGAGCGAAAGCGUGGGGAGCGAACAGG
rnacentral:rRNA from 1 species